ensembl:lncRNA
GUGUGUGUGUGUGUGUGUGUGUGUGUGUGUGUGUGUCAAUUUACGCCCCGAGUUGCCCCACGAGGACUUGGCAGCAAAUGAAGUACAAAAAUAUAGUUUAAACAGCAAAUCGAAAAAAUGCAGAGGCCCGGCAGACUGGAGGGGGUCCACCACCUGCAGCCCUCACAGAGGCUGAGGAGAUGGCCCUUGAGGGGAAAAACGGUCUGUCUAGUUACUGGACCAGAUAAAAUGAGACGGAGAGGUAAUAAAGUCUUUCGGCACGAGGACCUUGGAUUUAUUAAGUAAAGUGGCAACGGUUAUACAGAGUCAUAAAGCGUGAGAAAUCGAAUAUGUCUAAGUCCCUAAUCAGCGCUGAUGGUUCGUCCAGAGCUUCGCCUCCGUGGAAGGUCUGCUUCAGAAGAAGAUCCAGAGUCCCUGUGUGAUACAUUUUUAUGCUGUAUCCUCCUCUCGAUGAGGUGUGUGCGUUUGAGGUGUGUGUGGUUCUGUGUGUUUUUGCUUGGCCUUGGCUCCCAGGCCCUGGGAGAGCUUCGAAAUGUCUCCUGUGUGAUAAAUUAAAACGGGGGAGCGCCCCCCCGAAGUGUCUCCUGUGUGAUAAUUUAAUGUGGCUCUCACGUUCUUGAGGAUGAC